GAGCUCUUGUCUUUGGAAAUAUUGGGCAGGGAGAAAGGGUGCUUUUAGAACCGAGCUGUUCAGGGUCCCAGAUCCUCUAAUGUAAUGCCAGCUGAACCCAGACAGUGACUUCCACCUCCAUGAAUGCAGGUGAUUGCAUCCUUUGAAAGCCUGUUUGCAUAGCAGACAAUGAAGCUGAGCAGAGAAAAACAAGAUGAGAGACAGAUGGAGUAGGAGACCUGAGAAGAUGGCUUGAGUCCAUGAAUUCUGGUGUUCCCUAGGCCACAUUUGCCCCCAUCCUUCCCAGGUUAGACUUCUCCUAUGGAGAAUGCAGCAAGAAAAUACCAUCUUGAAGCAGAGAGCAGCGCUCAUCAGGCAUCAGUCCUUCUGGAGCCUUGAUCUUGGACCUCCCAGCUCCAAAAUAAUAAGUAAUAAAUUGUUAUUGCUUAUAAAUUA
ensembl:lncRNA LINC03063 long intergenic non-protein coding RNA 3063